rnacentral:lncRNA from 1 species
AUGAAUGUGUCUUUUGUCCAGCUCGGCCGCCUCGGAUCUCACUGCCACCGGCCUUCACGCACACCCUCGCCACCAGCCUUUGCCCCGUCAGCCUCAGCCCCAGCUCAUUCUCUCAGGCAGUCCCAGCAUUGGCAUGGUACCUCCUCCCGCCGUGGGCCUCACGUCUCUGCUCCCUGUCAACCCUACUGCCAUCAGCAUCACCACAAGCGACUUGUCUGCCCAGGAGGAUGCAACACCAUCUACCUCUACCGGCCACCUUUCAGUGUUUUCUGCUUUCCAAGUAAAGACACCAGCAGUGCCCUCAGAGCGGACCAGCCAGAGAUUUUCCGAAGCCUCCCAUAUAGGCUCCUCCGUGGAGGAGGCCUGAGAUGCUGUCAUGACUUUGGAGCCAGGGUGGCCGACCACCUUGGCCUGGCCAUCUUUGGGGUGGGCUUUGGGAGCCCAGCACUGCUGCCGAGUGUGGUGGAUGAGAACGGCUGCUGCUUGCUGUACGUGGUGGAGCUGUGUGGCGUGGAGCGAGCCUUCAGAGCUGAGCAUUUGACCAACACCAGAGUGGUUCGGGAACAGGAUGCGGACAUUGUCCUCAACGACCAGCGCGUCUCUGGAGUAGUUGUCUGCUCCCCGCCGGAGGCAGCUUCUGAAAUCGUGAUGCAUGCUCUCCGAGCAGAUAUGGCUGCCUUAAAAGAUGCAGACACUGUUAUGAUCAGCAUGAAGUUUCCCUGUGGGGCUAUGGUCAGCGUGGACGUCAGCCAGCACCGUACAGACAGCUGUGACCAGGGAUUGGAGGUGCGUGGGUCCCAAGGCGCGCUGCAGAUGGAGAAUCAGAAUCCCUUGGGCAUCACCGGGCGGGGCACGUCCCUGUCCCUCGGCUCCCAGACCCAGGCUAGCCGCUACCAGGACUCGUAUCGAGAGCUCUUCAGCUACUUUGUCAGAACCCUUAAAGGGAAAGAACCUCCUGAAAUCACCAAAGAGCAGUUCCUCAGGGUCUUCCGGGUGGCUGCGGCCACGGAGCAGUCGUGGUGGAGCCGGUCAGCUGUGGCCCUGCCCUGCGAAUCGGCAGAGGCCUCCGUGGUGAAGACAGAAGCUCCGUGAACCAACCCGAGGCUGGAGACAAGAUCCUGCCCAAUAUCCAGUUGCCUGUUUCUCUUCUCACUGUUACUGAGAGAGGGAGACAGAACCUUCUGGCGAUCUUGUCCUCACUGGAGACUCAGAACAGGAAGCAUUGGGAAACCAU